AGAGUUUGAUCCUGGCUCAGGACGAACGCUGGCGGCGUGCGUAAUACAUGCAAGUCGAGCGGACCUUCGGGUCAGCGGCGGACGGGUGAGGAACACGUGAGUGAUCUAUCGAUGAGUGGGGGAUAUCGGGCCGAAAGGCGCGGCAAUCCCGCAUACGUUCCUACGGGAAGAAAGCUGGGCAACUGGCGCUCAUCGCGGAGCUCGCGGCCCAUUAGCUAGUUGGGGGGGUAAGGGCCUCCCAAGGCGACGAUGGGUAGCCGGCCUGAGAGGGUGAACGGCCACACUGGGACUGAGACACGGCCCAGACUCCUACGGGAGGCAGCAGUAGGGAAUCUUCCACAAUGGGCGCAAGCCUGAUGGAGCAACGCCGCGUGAGUGAAGACGGCCUUCGGGUUGUAAAGCUCUGUCUGUCGGGACGAAGACCGGGACGGGAGUCCCGGGGAGCCGGUACCGACGAAGGAAGCCCCUGCAAACUACGUGCCAGCAGCCGCGGUAAGACGUAGGGGGCAAGCGUUGUCCGGAAUUACUGGGCGUAAAGGGCGUGUAGGCGGUGCGAUACGUAGCGGUUCUAAGCCUCCGGCUCACCCGGAGGAGGGCGGCUAAACGGUCGCACUGGAGGGCAGGAGAGGUGCGUGGAAAUUCCUGGUGGAGCGGUGAAAUGCGUAGAGAUCAGGAAGAACACCAGUGGCGAAGGCGGCGCACUGGCCUGGCCCUGACGCUGAGGCGCGACAGCGUGGGGAGCAAACGGGAUUAGAUACCCCGGUAGUCCACGCCGUAAACGAUGGAUACUAGGUGUCGUGGGGGGUCCACCCUGCGGUGCCGGAGCUAACGCACUAAGUAUCCCGCCUGUGGAGUACGGCCUCUUGGUUGAAACUCAUAGGAAUUGACGG
rnacentral:rRNA from 1 species